rnacentral:lncRNA from 1 species
AUGAUUAUGUGUGGCAGUGGUGGUUGUGGUGGUGGCUGGAGGUGGCAGUCGUUGGAGAAGAUGACCGGAGUUGCAGGUUUCCGGUGACGGAAGUAGUGGUGGUGUUAUAUAUGAAAGGGAUAUUAAGUUGUGGUGGUGGCUGGAGGUGGCAGUGGUGGUUGUGGUGGUGAAUGGCGGUGGCAGUGGUGGCAGUGGUGGCAGGGGGUAAUAUCACAGAGUGCACAAAAACACAGGGAGUAAUAUGAAAGGGCAUUAUAGUCAUUUCAAGUUAUAGUCAACAGAUUAGUCAACAAAUCUGAGGCCGGGGGGUAAGGUUGCAACAUAACAGCAAACAGUGGGGGGUAAAAUUGCAAUUAUUUCCUUAGGGGGGUAAGGGUGCCAAUCACCCCUAACCACAGGGUGUAAAAUUGCAGUUUACUCUAACUCUUAUCUUUAUUAGUGGGCAAGAAUAGAAUGGAAGGAAAGUGGGAAACUGGUGUUAACUUGGUUCAUAGAUGGAAAGCAUUUUAAAAUACAAGUUCGUCAUACGUUUCUUACACUCCAAGCAACACAAAUUACAAACUUGAUAAUAGUACGAAGAGAGUACCCAGACAUAGCAGCCACCAUGAGUGAUGAAAGCAUACCGACUGAUCCAUCUCCAGAUCCUUCCUUCUUAAGUUUAAGUGCAGCUGCUUCAGCCUUGCUCCUGAAUAUUUGAUAGAAAUAAUAGUAAACACCCUGUAGCAUACAAAUAGGAUGAUAAGAAUCAGGCAUUUAGGGACUAAAUGUGUCUUCAAUCUUUAUACUUAUAACAAGAUUUUAAUGAGUUAUUUACUCACUUAGUUUACCUACAAGGCUACAAAUUUAGUAACUUCAAGGAGAUGCAUGUGACAGCAAAAUCAAGCAGUCACAUAGGCGAACAGUGAUCAUAUGGUAUACUGUAUACAUUGCCUAACGUAUUUGGUUAAUGUUCUUAAUCAUGUUUAAAUUUGAAACAAGUUAUCAAAUACCCAUGUGGGAAGAGCUUAUUAGAACCAUAAAAGGCUGCACGAUGUUUGCUUCUUAUGGAGGGGGCGGCCGACCCCCCAAACUUUUUGCUCAGUAGUGGAGAGUAUGUAGUUUUCGUAUAGAAAUUUUUGGGUAUAUACGUUUUCGACCCCCCGGUUUUAUAGAAAUUUUUAGGUCCAGUGACUUCCGUCUCCCCGGUCGGAAAUCUCAAACUUCGCCACUGCUAAUGUAUUGUCUUAUAAAUGUCACAUUGACUAUACUACCAAGUGUUUCUUGGAAUUUAAAUUGUAGU